rnacentral:rRNA from 11 species
CUAUUGGUGAAUCCGACGGUCUUUGGGCUCGUGGUGGACGUCCUCUCUGUGGAGUAUGUGGAGGUCAGGCAGCACUCAAGUCCAAUUACUCUGAGGCAAAGCUCUAUAGGCAGUUAUGCUUUUUCAGAUACCUAGUGACUCCACCAAACAAUAAGAAUGCUGGAAGUAAUGCUGAUAUGGAAAGUUAGUCACAAAAUGAAUUUCUUGUCCUUGUAUUAUUGUUUCCUAUUUAUAAUGUAUUAAUAUAAAAUAAUUUCAUCUUGAGGAUAAUACUAUUUUUCUUCAUGUUUAGGUUUUUAAUAAAUAAAAACCGAAAUCUUUCUGUUGCGGUAAAAUUAACAUAUACUUUAAAUAGGUGUUAUUACCAAGGUUCGACUUGAUAAUUUCGAAUAAAUUGAGCAUUGGGUAGAUUGUUAUAAAUAAAAUAAAUAUAUCUUUAAUAUCCCAAUGAGUAGAAAAGUUAAAUUUUCUGGUGUUUCGUGACUCAGUGUAAACCACUUUGGAGUAUAAAUAACCAAAUCAAAAUUAAUCCGAGUCCAAAUAGUACAACGGAACAACACAAGAAUAUUAUGUGCGAUCAAUCAAAAAGAGGUCUGAACAAAUCAAUGUCAUGUCAUUUCGGUCGUGAUUCAUAAGCGACAUGUAUGUAUAUUUGUGUGUGUGUAUGUGUGCAAGGUUAAAGAUGAAAAAAUAUGUAACCUUUAUUGCGGGAAAGGAUAGACUUUAAUUUGUAUGUACGCUAAUAGUGUGAAAUGUGAACAAUAUCACACUAGGUGGCUAGGAUAGAUGGUCGAAGUAGGACGUAUGGUAAGGCCUUCUUUUCUAUUGAGAGCAGUAGGUUUAGGCAUUAUAUGGAACGCUUCAGCUACUCUCUUUUCUUUUUAAUUGGAAAAAGCUUUUUGUAAUAUUUUGAUGGUUUUGAAAUUGAUUUGGUGGUUGUUGAAAAUGACUUGAACUGCUAUUGCCGAUUUAAUUUGAAGUCUAUCCAUUUCUACGGGAUUAUUAAAUGGUUUCUUUUUGUACCUAAUAUGUUCAAGAUUUCGCGAGAUGACUCUUCAAUAUAGAAGGCAUCACAAUCGAUACCACCUAAUUCGUACACACAGUUCUGUGUUGAUAUGAAGGGGAUUUUUUUCUUUUAAGCGAACUAAAUUAUUUCGAAAUGUGUUCGUUGUUUUGUAAAAUACUUUAGUUCUGUGUGGUUUUAACAUUCUUCGGAGUUCUUCUGUUGUACCAUGACGGUAUGGUAAAACUUCAGUAUCAAUCUAUGGUAUUUCAUUCGAAUUAUUAUAACGCAAUGAAACAUCUUGUUUUAAUACACUUCUAAUGAUCUUCAUAGGAAAAUUAUUAAAUUGUAAGAUGCUAAUUACAUUCUUUUGUUCUUUUUUGUUUAUCCUGCUCCGAUGUGAUAAUCUUGUUAGGUUUUCUGAAAAGAUUUAGGGCUAGCGAGAUCUUUGCACUGAAUUGAAGUCGAUAUAACGGUUUGAGUGUGCAGGUUUUCGGUAGAUGGAUAGAUUUAGAAUUCCAUUUAGAUUUCUUGUCACUAAGCAAUCUAAAAAUGGUAGUUCACCUUGUUCAUUUUCAUUUUCGUUCGUGAAUUUGAUAUGCGACGAAAAGUGUAUUGAUUUCAUUCUUCUGGAAGUAAUGAUGGCUAGUGACACCAAACAAUAUAUUGAUACUGCUCCAGUCUAUGCCUAAAUAAAUGUAAAAUCGAAAUGUAAUCUAUUUCUUUGGUGCAUCACUCGGUAACAUAGGACUUAGCAUGGAUAGUUAUUGGUUCAAGUCGCUAUACAUCACACCGACACAAUGAGAAAGGAAAUUUGCAAAACAAUAAAUAAAUGAAAGGAAUUAGUUUAAAUUUCAAUGCAAGCUUAAACGUGAAUGGUACAUUUCAUGUGACAAAAUGGCAUAAAUAAAAGAAAAUUGACUUCUUAAAUAGUUAAUUUACUUAAUAAGUUAUUACCAAACUUGACAU